CUGUAGUGCAGAGGUUCCCGAGAUGGAGAGCUGACACAGGACAGCAACCCAGAGAAGAAAAAAUGUGAGCUGGACCUUCAAUGCUUGGCAGCAUUGAAGAGGAAAAGCAUCUCAGAUAAAGGAAAAGAAAGACGUUCAACUCUACCAACUGUCUAUAGCAUUUCACAGUGUUGUGGAUGAUUAUGCUGUCUAGGGAACUGAGUAGUUACUGCACUUUCAAAAACAUCAUCUCACAGUCCUGAGUGAUCUAUCCACACAUCCAUCUUCAAGCUUCCCAAAGGCAGGAAUCACCUAUUGUUCGUCUGUAAACUCCAAUGAGAAACAUACAGUCUGGUGUAUGGGAGGUCAUCAAAACAAGUGUGGAGGUAUAAGCUAAGACUGACAACUGCCUCCCAAGUUUCUAUUCAAAAGUAAUCAUUUUGGAUGUAAAUCUCAUCAGGAAUGUGUUUAAACUCAGGAACUGCUGAAUUGUACUGUAACUUGGCUCAUCCCAAAUAGUGCAGUUGUCUUCACAAUGGAGAGACUGUCACAGCCUAAAAAGACACGUGACUCUGAGCAUCAGUUUACUGGCUGCCCACUCAAUGAUUCAGACUCCUCCAUUCUUUGUGUGGAAGAGAACUGGCCUUCCGGGAGCCUGAGGCCAAGUGAGAGAACCUUCUGAAAGCCGUCACUGCAUGGGGAGCCUGGACUUACCC
rnacentral:lncRNA from 1 species